UGGGGAAUAUUGCACAAUGGGCGCAAGCCUGAUGCAGCGACGCCGCGUGAGGGAUGACGGCCUUCGGGUUGUAAACCUCUUUCAGCUCCGACGAAGCGCAAGUGACGGUAGGAGCAGAAGAAGCACCGGCCAACUACGUGCCAGCAGCCGCGGUAAUACGUAGGGUGCAAGCGUUGUCCGGAAUUACUGGGCGUAAAGAGAUCGUAGGCGGUUUGUCGCGUCGUCUGUGAAAUUCUGCAGCUUAACUGCAGGCGUGCAGGCGAUACGGGCAGACUUGAGUACUACAGGGGAGACUGGAAUUCCUGGUGUAGCGGUGAAAUGCGCAGAUAUCAGGAGGAACACCGGUGGCGAAGGCGGGUCUCUGGGUAGUAACUGACGCUGAGGAGCGAAAGCGUGGGUAGCGAACAGG
rnacentral:rRNA from 1 species